GCAGCCGCCGCGGGAAUACGAAGGGUGCAAGCGUUAAUCGGAAUUACUGGGCGUAAAGCGUGCGUAGGCGGUUUGUUAAGUCUGUUGUGAAAUCCCCGGGCUCAACCUGGGAAUGGCAAUGGAUACUGGCAAGCUAGAGUGUGUCAGAGGAUGGUGGAAUUCCCGGUGUAGCGGUGAAAUGCGUAGAGAUCGGGAGGAACAUCAGUGGCGAAGGCGGCCAUCUGGGACAACACUGACGCUGAGGCACGAAAGCGUGGGGAGCAAACAGGAUUAGAUACCCGGGUAGUCCCUGUCUCUUAUAC
rnacentral:rRNA from 1 species